GUCCUGUCGAGUGGAUCAAUUUUGUUCACUACUGCACAUGUGUUACCUGGGAGAUGGUUGACUUUUCACAGCAAGCCAGGAUCCUAUGGUUUGCGAUGGCUCACCCGAGUUUAGCAUCCGUGGAGGAAUGGAUAUUCCAUCUUGUAAAGACAACAGUCUCCCAUCAACAAAGGUGUGAUCCAUUGACAUCAUCUGUUCCAAAAAUGGGAUCCUCACCAAGCUACAGACAUAACUAAAGGCUUAUGGUAAUGGAGGCAGAGCGAUGCCGCAAUAUGUAUUAAAAGUUGGAUCAGGAAUUUAUUUUUCCUUGGGUGUUUCCAUGUCUUCCCGGAAAGUAACGUAUUGUGUAUGUUGUAUAGUAUUGACAGACUAUUUGUAGUUCUACCUCUACUUCUAUCUAUGCACUGAGAGAGCGAUUCAUAUAUCCCGCAAAAAAGAAAAAAAAAAUAGGAGAGAGA